GUGGGGAAUAUUGGACAAUGGGCGAAAGCCUGAUCCAGCCAUGCCGCGUGUGUGAAGAAGGUCUUCGGAUUGUAAAGCACUUUAAGUUGGGAGGAAGGGCAGUAAGUUAAUACCUUGCUGUUUUGACGUUACCAACAGAAUAAGCACCGGCUAACUUCGUGCCAGCAGCCGCGGUAAUACGAAGGGUGCAAGCGUUAAUCGGACUUACUGGGCGUAAAGCGCGCGUAGGUGGUUCAGCAAGUGGAAGGUGAAAUCCCCGGGCUCAACCUGGGAACUGCCUCCAAAACUACUGAGCUAGAGUACGGUAGAGGGUAGUGGAAUUUCCUGUGUAGCGGUGAAAUGCGUAGAUAUAGGAAGGAACACCAGUGGCGAAGGCGACUACCUGGACUGAUACUGACACUGAGGUGCGAAAGCGUGGGGAGCAAACAGGAUUAGAUACCCGGGUAGUCC
rnacentral:rRNA from 1 species